GACGAACGCUGGCGGCGUGCUUAACACAUGCAAGUCGAACGGAGUGGCGAACGGGUGAGUAACACGUGGGUGAUCUGCCUUGCACUUCGGGAUACGCUUGGGAAACUGGGUAUAAUACCGGAUAGUGCAAGAUGAGCUCGCGGCCUAGCAGCUUGUUGGUGGGGUAAUGGCCUACCAUGGAGUCGACGGGUAGCCGGCCUGUGAGGGUGUACGGGCACAGUGGUACUGAGAUACGGCCCAGACUGCUACGGGGGGCAGCAGUGGGGAAUAUUGCACAAUGGUCGGAAGCCUGAGGCAGCGACGCCGCGUGGGGGAUGAAGGCCUUCUGGUUGUAAACGCCUUUCGACAGGGACGCGGUACCUGUAUAAGAAGCACCGGCUAACUACGUGCCAGCAGCCGCGGUAAUAC
rnacentral:rRNA from 1 species